rnacentral:rRNA from 1 species
GACGAACGCUGGCGGCGUGCCUAAUACAUGCAAGUUGAGCGAUGAAGAUUGGUGCUUGCACCAAUUUGAAGAGCAGCGAACGGGUGAGUAACGCGUGGGGAAUCUGCCUUUGAGCGGGGGACAACAUUUGGAAACGAAUGCUAAUACCGCAUAAUAACUUUAAACAUAAGUUUUAAGUUUGAAAGAUGCAAUUGCAUCACUCAAAGAUGAUCCCGCGUUGUAUUAGCUAGUUGGUGAGGUAAAGGCUCACCAAGGCGAUGAUACAUAGCCGACCUGAGAGGGUGAUCGGCCACAUUGGGACUGAGACGCGGCCCAAACUCCUACGGGAGGCAGCAGUAGGGAAUCUUCGGCAAUGGACGAAAGUCUGACCGAGCAACGCCGCGUGAGUGAAGAAGGUUUUCGGAUCGUAAAACUCUGUUGGUAGAGAAGAACGUUGGUGAGAGUGGAAAGCUCAUCAAGUGACGGUAACUACCCAGAAAGGGACGGCUAACUACGUG